UACGGGGGGGGCAAGCGUUGUUCGGAAUUACUGGGCGUAAAGGGCGCGUAGGCGGCCUUCUAAGUCGAACGUGAAAUCCCCGGGCUCAACCCGGGAACUGCGUCCGAUACUGGAAGGCUUGAAUCCGGGAGAGGGAUGCGGAAUUCCAGGUGUAGCGGUGAAAUGCGUAGAUAUCUGGAGGAACACCGGUGGCGAAGGCGGCAUCCUGGACCGGCAUUGAUGCUGAGGCGCGAAAGCCAGGGGAGCAAACGGG
rnacentral:rRNA from 1 species